UACGUAGGGGGCAAGCGUUGUCCGGAAUCAUUGGGCGUAAAGAGCGCGUAGGCGGUCCGGUAAGUCGGUUGUGAAAACUGGGGGCUCAACCCUCAGAGGCCGACCGAUACUGCCGGGCUAGAGUCCGGAAGAGGCGAGUGGAAUUCCUGGUGUAGCGGUGAAAUGCGCAGAUAUCAGGAGGAACACCAAUGGCGAAGGCAGCUCGCUGGGACGGUACUGACACUGAGGAGCGAAAGCGUGGGGAGCGAACAGG
rnacentral:rRNA from 1 species